AUUGAACGCUGGCGGCAUGCCUUACACAUGCAAGUCGAACGGUAACGGGUCCUUCGGGAUGCCGACGAGUGGCGAACGGGUGAGUAAUAUAUCGGAACGUGCCCAGUAGUGGGGGAUAACUGCUCGAAAGAGCAGCUAAUACCGCAUACGACCUGAGGGUGAAAGGGGGGGAUCGCAAGACCUCUCGCUAUUGGAGCGGCCGAUAUCAGAUUAGCUAGUUGGUGGGGUAAAGGCCUACCAAGGCAACGAUCUGUAGUUGGUCUGAGAGGACGACGCGCCACACUGGGACUGAGACACGGCCCAGACUCCUACGGGAGGCAGCUGUGGGGAAUUUUGGACAAUGGGGGCAAGCCUGAUCCAGCGAUGCCGCGUGCAGGAAGAAGGCCUUCGGGUUGUAAACUGCUUUUGUCAGGGAAGAAAUCUUCUGGGCUAAUACCCCGGGAGGAUGACGGUACCUGAAGAAUAAGCACCGGCUAACUACGUGCCAGCCGCCGCCGUAA
rnacentral:rRNA from 1 species